rnacentral:lncRNA from 1 species
UGCGACGCGGCUGCGCGAGGCGAGGGCGUAGCUCAGUAGAUAGCGCCCCACCACAGAGACCGAGAUAGCAGUACCUUGAGACAGUCUAGCUUAGGGGGACUAGAAGACAAGAAAAGAAAAUGUAUCAAACUUGUAAACUCUGAUGUAAUAAUGAGAUUGUAAUUUGGAAGUUAAAAUAUAAACUGAAACUGUGAUGUAAAGAGUGGUUGUAAAAUGAAUGCUUAUAAUAGCAAGUAGAUUAUGUAUUUG